GUGGGGAAAAAGGCUGGCUAGCUGCAGAGAGGAGGUACCCUCUCUGCUGAAAGCUUCAGAGACCUGCCGAGAUGUCUGAACGACCUGCCUGUGGAGAGAAGCCACCCUCUCCAGGGCCUCCUCUCUGCUGAGAACUGAACACUCCACAAUACGACCUGCUUACAGAGAGGAGCUACCUGAACCACCCACUGUGGGUCUCCUCUGAGCUCUCUAACACUGAAUAAAGCUCCUCUUCAUCUUGUUCACCCUUCACUUGUCUGCAUACCUCAUUCUUCCUGGAUGCAGGACAAGAACUCAGGCAAAGAUGCUACUGGCCACAGAGGUUUCUGGGAAGAAAAUUGACACGCAACAUCAUUGCACCGGAUAAUGAUGGCUCCGACCUCCAGAAUCUUUCACAAUCUGGUUAUGAGUGAUGUUCACGCCCAUUUUACAGAGAGAUGGUAACUGAAUCUCAGGGAAGCCAUGAAAGACGUACCUUUUGCCCUCUGCUGUGAUUGUGAGGCCUUCCCAGCCAUGUGGAACCUGGAAGAAGAUGGGAUAGAAUUAGAACACUAGAGCUACACCAAGGGAGACAAGAUAGAAGAUGCUGAAUGCUGUGGAAUGGGGAGGAAGAAAAACAGUGGGAAAAGUAAAAAAAGAACUAGGGCAAAUGCACCUUGGCCCCAGAGAUGGUCCUAAUUAAUUUCCUUUCUUCUCUGUUGCUAUUUUGGCUUCCUUUGGUUUAAAAAUAAAAUGUCCUGUUUUCGCUCUGA